CCUGAGUACGACGGAGCACGUGAAAUUCCGUCGGAAUCUGGGAGGACCAUCUCCUAAGGCUAAAUACUCUCUAGUGACCGAUAGUGAACCAGUACCGUGAGGGAAAGGUGAAAAGUACCCCGGAAGGGGAGUGAAAGAGAACUUGAAACCGUGUGCUUACAAGUAGUCAGAGCCCGUUAAUGGGUGAUGGCGUGCCUUUUGUAGAAUGAACCGGCGAGUUACGAUCUGAUGCAAGGUUAAGCAGAAAAUGUGGAGCCGUAGCGAAAGCGAGUCUGAAUAGGGCGAAUGAGUAUUUGGUCGUAGACCCGAAACCAGGUGAUCUACCCUUGGUCAGGUUGAAGUUCAGGUAACACUGAAUGGAGGACCGAACCGACUUACGUUGAAAAGUGAGCGGAUGAACUGAGGGUAGCGGAGAAAUUCCAAUCGAACUUGGAGAUAGCUGGUUCUCUCCGAAAUAGCUUUAGGGCUAGCCUCAAGUGAUGAUUAUUGGAGGUAGAGCACUGUUUGGACGAGGGGCCCCUCUCGGGUUACCGAAUUCAGACAAACUCCGAAUGCCAAAUAAUUUAACUUGGGAGUCAGAAUGUGGGUGAUAAGGUCCAUAUUCGAAAGGGAAACAGCCCAGACCACCAGCUAAGGUCCCAAAAUAUAUGUUAAGUGGAAAAGGAUGUGGCGUUGCCCAGACAACUAGGAUGUUGGCUUAGAAGCAGCCAUCAUUUAAAGAGUGCGUAAUAGCUCACUAGUCGAGUGACACUGCGCCGAAAAUGUACCGGGGCUAAACAUAUUACCGAAGCUGUGGAUUGUCCUUUGGACAAUGGUAGGAGAGCGUUCUAAGGGCGUUGAAGCAUGAUCGCAAGGACAUGUGGAGCGCUUAGAAGUGAGAAUGCCGGUGUGAGUAGCGAAAGACGGGUGAGAAUCCCGUCCACCGAUUGACUAAGGUUUCCAGAGGAAGGCUCGUCCGCUCUGGGUUAGUCGGGUCCUAAGCUGAGGCCGACAGGCGUAGGCGAUGGAUAACAGGUUGAUAUUCCUGUACCACCAUUAUUCGUUUUAAGCGAUGGGGGGACGCAGUAGGAUAGGCGAAGCGUGCUGUUGGAGUGCACGUCCAAGCAGUGAGAUUGA
rnacentral:rRNA from 1 species